rnacentral:rRNA from 1 species
AGAGUUUGAUCCUGGCUCAGGAUGAACGCUGGCGGCGUGCCUAAUACAUGCAAGUCGAGCGAACUGAUUAGAAGCUUGCUUCUAUGACGUUAGCGGCGGACGGGUGAGUAACACGUGGGCAACCUGCCUGUAAGACUGGGAUAACUUCGGGAAACCGAAGCUAAUACCGGAUAGGAUCUUCUCCUUCAUGGGAGAUGAUUGAAAGAUGGUUUCGGCUAUCACUUACAGAUGGGCCCGCGGUGCAUUAGCUAGUUGGUGAGGUAACGGCUCACCAAGGCCAUGAUGCAUAGCCGACCUGAGAGGGUGAUCGGCCACACUGGGAUUGAGACACGGCCCAGACUCCUACGGGAGGCAGCAGUAGGGAAUCUUCCGCAAUGGACGAAAGUCUGACGGAGCAACGCCGCGUGAGUGAUGAAGGCUUUCGGGUCGUAAACUCUGUUGUUAGGGAAGAACAAGUACGAGAGUAACUGCUCGUACCUUGACGGUACCUAACCAGAAAGCCACGGCUAACUACGUGCCAGCAGCCGCGGUAAUACGUAGGUGGCAAGCGUUAUCCGGAAUUAUUGGGCGUAAAGCGCGCGCAGGCGGUUUCUUAAGUCUGAUGUGAAAGCCCACGGCUC